AGACUGACCCAGGCAUCCUAUCCGUUUCCUCAGUAAAUCUGAGAUAUGUGAAAAGGAGCAUUUUUUUCCCAACUAAGGAGUCUUUAGCGAGUUAUAGACGUAAUCAGAGGCGCCACCGAACCGUAGGAAGUGGUCGUGUAGACGCCUGAACAAGCUGGCUGAUUAUUCCGCUCGGCUUUGCCCGCCGUGCGUGCAGUUGAGACGUCUGGACUCGAACACGGACAGAUCCGGUAUCUUACCCCACUUCAGGAUCUAGUUCCUCUGCCAAUUUCCAUCCUCAGCAAUUCCAAGAGCGCAGCAAUGUGAAUACAUACCUUCCGGAAUCUUUGAGUUGUGUUCCGACCAGACCCAUGGAUCAGCAAAG